UACGGGGGGGGCAAGCGUUGUUCGGAAUUACUGGGCGUAAAGGGCGCGUAGGCGGUCAGCACAAGUCAGUUGUGAAAUCUCCGGGCUUAACUCGGAAAGGUCAACUGAUACUGUGCGACUAGAGUGCAGAAGGGGCAACUGGAAUUCUCGGUGUAGCGGUGAAAUGCGUAGAUAUCGAGAGGAACACCUGCGGCGAAGGCGGCCUUCUGGCCUGUCCUGACGCUGAGGCGCGAAAGCGUGGGAGCGAACCGG
rnacentral:rRNA from 1 species